rnacentral:rRNA from 1 species
UACGGAGGGUGCAAGCGUUAAUCGGAAUUACUGGGCGUAAAGGGCUCGUAGGCGGCCAACUAAGUCGGACGUGAAAUCCCCAGGCUCAACCUGGGAACUGCGUCCGAUACUGGAUGGCUUGAAUCCGGGAGAGGGAUGCAGAAUUCCAGGUGUAGCGGUGAAAUGCGUAGAUAUCUGGAGGAAUACCGGUGGCGAAGGCGGCAUCCUGGGACCGGCAUUGACGCUGAGGAGCGAAAGCCAGGGGAGCAAACGGG